rnacentral:rRNA from 1 species
GGCUGAAAGCCUGUCUGUAGCUUUGGGUGGGUUUUGUAGGAAAUCAUCCUACUGAUGUGGAAAGCUAAGGAGGCUUGGGCCCAGUUACUACUUGGAUGGGAGGCCACCAGGGAAGGGUUAGGGUUCUUCUGCCU